AAGACUUCUCUUCAGACCAAGCUCAUUAAUUUUGCCUGCACAAGAAGUAAGAAAGUGUGUUGCAGUUGAGACACCCAAUUAUAUCUACAACAGAGUCCAAUCUGCUGUCCAGCUGGAAUGGAUUGCUCAGAUCACGUCAAUCUCAGUGGGCAGCCUUAGAAGAGCGAUGCUGCAAAGAUUAUAAAAUCAGAGAGCUGGUGUGGUGUGUGUAUGGUCUUGGAUUUGAGCAGGAAUAGGGCCAGCUUCAAACUCUAUUCAGCCAUAAAUCUCACAAAAUUA